UACAGACGGCGCAAGCGUUAUCCGGAAUGAUUGGGCGUAAAGCGUCUGUAGGUGGUUCGCGAAGUCUACUGUCAAAUCCCAGGGCUCAACCUUGGACAGGCAGUGGAGAACUCGUGGACUCGAGUACGGUAGGGUAGAGGGAAUUCCCGGUGAAGCAGUGAAAUGCACAGAGAUCGGGAAGAACACCAGUGGCGAAGGCGCAUCUACGUAGGCCGUGACUGACACCUGAGAGACGAUAGCUAGGGGAGCGAAUAGG
rnacentral:rRNA from 1 species